rnacentral:rRNA from 1 species
AUGGCUUGUGGCGAUCAUCAAAGUGAUGAUGACAAUUUCAUGGAUCCACCUCAACGUAACCAGGCAACUGGACGGAGAAAAGAGGGCGAUGAGAAGAAGAAACAUAUUCGCAACAGAGCCUCCCAGGAACGUCUGACCGUGUUGAUUGACAAAUUCACUGACGAUCAAAAGGGAGCUGCUGCUGAGAUGGGUAUGCAGGUUCUGAUGGAUGUCCGGUGUACGAACCUUGUCAACCCGGUAUGCGACUGGCUUGGUGAGAUAUACGAUCCCGCCUCCAGGGAAUUCGUGAUCCCGGGACGGGGAAGACUUCCAUUGAAUGAGGAAUCCAUGUUCUGCACUUUGGGUGUGCCUCGGGGACAUAUCAAAGUCCCGUACGAGGCGAAUCUGAAAAACGUGAAGAGUAUGAACUGGUGUAAGUUUAUUGCCGACUUUCUCCAUGAUGCUUUCAAAAACAAGAUGUACCAGAAGGGUUGUCGUCUGCACUUAAUGGCGAGGGCACCAGUGGAGCAUCUAAUUGGGCAGUUUGCAUCUAGAAUGACCGGCCUGCUCGGGAAGUUGGUUGAGGGGUGGACGUCCCUCAGUGCCUCUGACAGCGACGCGGUUGCGAGGUAG